AUUGAACGCUGGCGGCAGGCCUAACACAUGCAAGUCGAACGAGUGGCGGACGGGUGAGUAAUGUCUGGGAAACUGCCUGAUGGAGGGGGAUAACUACUGGAAACGGUAGCUAAUACCGCAUACCAUCGGAUGUGCCCAGAUGGGCUUAGCUAGUAGGUGGGGUAAAGGCUCACCUAGGCGACGAUCCCUAGCUGGUCUGAGAGGAUGACCGUCUACACUGGAACGUAGCCCAGGGCCGGACUCCUACGGGGGGCAGCAGGGGGUAAUAUUGCACAAGGGGCGCAAGCAUGAUGCAGCCAGGCCGAGUGUAUGAAGAAGGCCUUCGGGUUGUAAAGUACUGUCAUCGGGGAGGCGUUACCCGCAGAAGAAGCAACGGCUAACUCCGUGCCAGCAGCCGGGUAAUAC
rnacentral:rRNA from 1 species